CCAGAAGAGGGCACUCAAUCUCCUGGAACUGGAGUUGUCGGUUGUGAGCUGCCAUGGGGUACUAAGAACUGAUCCCCCUCUGGAGGGCAGCAAGCAUUCCUAGCCCCUGGGCCAUCUCUCCAGCCUCACCCUGCUACUGUCUAGUCACAGGAAUAUGCGGAAGUGCUCCGGGAACACCUUCUCCCCCUGCCGCUGCUGACUCCAGCACUGCUGCAGGACCCGGAUUCUUUCAGCGCGGCCUGGGGCUUUGCCAGUGGAGAAGCUUGUCAUCCGAUGGGGCUCCCUUCCCGACCCUGGUGCUCCAGCCUCCAGUUCUGGGAGGUGGCGGGGUGAUGGAGUCAAGAACGAGGGUGGAAGGCCAGGGAGAGAGCAGCUCUGCACAGACAAUUACAAUGGGCUCAAAACCCCAGAACAUUUACCUUUUCCAACCGAAUGACUCUAUAAAAUGGACACCUGCCAUGUUCCUAGCAUGAAUCACUGUACUUAGAGGCACACACAAGUGCAGUGCAGUCACGCCUAGUUGCUCACUGAUGUCUCAGAUCCAAUGCUCAGGGUUCAGUGCCUGAGCCAAAUGUUAAAGUUAUUUGUUCUUGUCAAUAAACUAAACUUUACGGUGA